rnacentral:rRNA from 1 species
CAGUGGAACAUGUGGUUCAAUUCGACGCUACGCGAAGAACCUCGACCAGGGUUGACAUAUAGGUAGUAGGGAAACCUGAAACGGGAGACGACUCGUUAAGCCGAGUGCCUAGUACAGGUGUUGCAUGGGCUGUCGUCAGCUCGUGCCGUGAGGUGUUGGGUUAAGUCCCGCAACGAGCGCAACCAUCAAUCCUUAGUUGCUACCGAGGGAUCCGAAAGGGUCCUGGCGAGCACUCUAAGGAGACUGCCCGUGAUAAACGGGAGGAAGGUGGAGAUGGCGUCAAGUCCGUAUGGCUCUUAUACCCUGGGCUACACACGUGUUACAAUGGGAUGUACAGAGCGUUGCCAAACCGCGAGGUGGAGCUAAUCGCAAAAAGCAUCCCCCAGUUCAGAUUGGAGUCUGCAACCCGACUCCAUGAAGUUGGAAUUGCUAGUAACGGCGGAUCAGCUACGCCGCCGUCGAAUACGUUCCCGGGCCUU